rnacentral:rRNA from 1 species
AGGACGAACGCUGGCGGCGUGCUUAACACAUGCAAGUCGAGCGGUAAGGCCUUUCGGGGUACGCGAGCGGCGAACGGGUGAGUAACACGUGGGUGAUCUGCCCUGCACUUCGGGAUAAGCCUGGGAAACUGGGUCUAAUACCGGAUAUGACUUCAGGUUGCAUGACUUGGGGUGGAAAGUAUUUAUCGGUGCAGGAUGGGCCCGCGGCCUAUCAGCUUUGUUGGGUGGGUAAUGGCCUACCAAGGCGACGACGGGUAGCCGACCGUGAGAGGGUCGACCGGCCACGACGUGGGACGUGAGACGACGGCCCAGACCUCCGUACGGGA